rnacentral:tRNA from 1 species
GGCACCUUGGCGGAGUGGUGACGCAGCGGUCUGCAAAACCGCGUACACCGGUUCAAUUCCGGUAGGUGCCUCCA